UAGGGAAUAUUAGAAAUGGACGAAAGUCUGAAGCAGCAACGCCGCGUGUGCGAUGAAGGCCUUCGGGUUGUAAAGCACUUUUUGAGGGGAUGAGGAAGGACAGUACCCUCAGAAUAAGCCUCGGCUAACUACGUGCCAGCAGCCGCGGUAACACGUAGGAGGCGAGCGUUAUCCGGAUUUACUGGGUGUAAAGCGCGUGCAGGCGGUUCAGAAAGUUGGAUGUGAAAGCUCCUGGCUUAACUGGGAGAGGUCGUUCAAUACUUCUGGACUCGAGAGUGGGAGAGGGAGGUGGAAUUCCGGGUGUAGUGGUGAAAUGCGUAGAUAUCCGGAGGAACACCAGUGGCGAAAGCGGCCUCCUGGCCCAUUUCUGACGCUCAGACGCGAAAGCUAGGGUAGCAAACG
rnacentral:rRNA from 1 species